UAUCUCAAAACCAGGAACGUGGUUCUAAAAGGUGCUUUAGAAGACUUGAUCUUGAACCCAGAAACGUGGUCCAAAAGGUGAUUUUAAAGACUUGUUCUACAACAGAAGGGUUUUAAAAGGUGCUUUCAAAGACUUGUUCUCAAACAAAAUAGGUUCAAACGGUGCUUUUAAAGACUUGUUCUCAAACCCAGAAACAUGGUUCAGAAGGUGCUUUCCAAGGUAUGAUUUCAAACAAACAAAAAAGAUUCUAAAAAGGUGCUUUUCAAAAUCUUGAUCUCAAACCAAAUACAAGGUCCAAAAGGUGCUUUCAGAAACUUGAUCUCAAACCAAAAACAAGGUUUUAAAAAGGUGCUUUAAAAGACUUGAUCUCAAACCAAAAACAAGGUUUUAAAAGGUGCUUUAGAAGACUUGAUCUUGAACCCAGAAACGUGGUCCAAAAGGUGAUUUCAAAAGACUUGUUCUCAAACCAAAAACAAGUCCCAAAAGGUGCUUUAAAAAGCUUGAUUUCAAACCAAAAACAAGGUUCUUAAAAAGGUGCUUUAAAAGACUUGAUCUCAAACCCAGAAACAAGGUUCUUAAG